GAGUUUGAUCGUGGCUCAGGAUGAACGCUAGCGGCAGGCUUAACACAUGCAAGUCGAGGGGCAGCGCGGGGCGGCAACGUCCUGGCGGCGACCGGCGGAAGGGUGCGUAACGCGUGAGCGACAUGCCCGUUGCCCGGGGACAACCGGUGGAAACGCCGACUAAUCCCCGAUGGGACGGAGGCCCUCAUGGGUCUCUGUUGAAAGUUGCGGCGGCGACGGAUUGGCUCGCGUCCGAUUAGCUUGUUGGCGGGGUAACGGCCCACCAAGGCUACGAUCGGUAGGGGUUCUGAGAGGAAGGUCCCCCACAAUGGAACUGAGACACGGUCCAUACUCCUACGGGAGGCAGCAGUGAGGAAUAUUGGUCAAUGGGCGGAAGCCUGAACCAGCCAUGCCGCGUGCGGGAAGGAGGCCCUAUGGGCUGUGAACCGCUUUUGCCUGGGGGCAAUAAGGGCGUCGUGCACGUCCGAUGAGAGUACCAGGCGAAUAAGCAUCGGCUAACUCC
rnacentral:rRNA from 1 species